GACGAACGCUGGCGGCGUGCUUAACACAUGCAAGUCGAACGAUGAAGCUGGAGCUUGCUCCAGCGGAUUAGUGGCGAACGGGUGAGUAACACGUGAGCAAUCUGCCCUUGACUCUGGGAUAACUGCGGGAAACUGUAGCUAAUACCGGAUACGAGCUUUGAAGGCAUCUUCAGACAUGGAAAGAAUUUCGGUCAAGGAUGAGCUCGCGGCCUAUCAGCUAGUUGGUGAGGUAAUGGCUCACCAAGGCGACGACGGGUAGCCGGCCUGAGAGGGUGACCGGCCACACUGGAACUGAGACACGGUCCAGACUCCUACGGGAGGCAGCAGUGGGGAAUAUCGCACAAUGGGCGAAAGCCUGAUGCAGCAACGCCGCGUGAGGGAUGAAGGCCUUCGGGUUGUAAACCUCUUUUAGUAGGGAAGAAGCGAAAGUGACGGUACCUACAGAAAAAGCACCGGCUAACUACGUGCCAGCAGCCGCAGUAA
rnacentral:rRNA from 1 species